rnacentral:rRNA from 1 species
AACGAACGCUGGCGGCAUGCCUAACACAUGCAAGUCGAACGAGACCUUCGGGUCUAGUGGCGCACGGGUGCGUAACGCGUGGGAACCUGCCCUUAGGUUCGGAAUAACUCCCCGAAAGGGGUGCUAAUACCCGAUAAUGUCUUCGGACCAAAGAUUUAUCGCCUUUGGAUGGGCCCGCGUUGGAUUAGCUAGUUGGUAGGGUAAAAGCCUACCAAGGCGACGAUCCAUAGCUGGUCUGAGAGGAUGAUCAGCCACACUGGGACUGAGACACGGCCCAGACUCCUACGGGAGGCAGCAGUAGGGAAUAUUGGACAAUGGGCGAAAGCCUGAUCCAGCAAUGCCGCGUGAGUGAUGAAGGCCUUAGGGUUGUAAAGCUCUUUUACCCGGGAUGAUAAUGACAGUACCGGGAGAAUAAGCGCCGGCUAACUCCGUG